ACUGCUCAGUAACACGUGGAUAACCUGCCCUUGGGACCGGCAUAACCCCGGGAAACUGGGGAUAAUUCCGGAUAACGCAUAUGUGCUGGAAUGCUUUAUGCGUAAAAUGGAUUCGUCUGCCCAAGGAUGGGUCUGCGGCCUAUCAGGUAGUAGUGGGUGUAAUGUACCUACUAGCCGACAACGGGUACGGGUUGUGAGAGCAAGAGCCCGGAGAUGGAUUCUGAGACAUGAAUCCAGGCCCUACGGGGCGCAGCAGGCGCGAAAACUUUACAAUGCGGGAAACCGUGAUAAGGGGACACCGAGUGUCAGCAUCAUAUGCUGGCUGUCCGGGUGUGUAAAAUACACCCGUUAGCAAGGGCCGGGCAAGACCGGUGCCAGCCGCCGCGGUAACACCGGCGGCCCGAGUGGUGAUCGUGAUUAUUGGGUCUAAAGGGUCCGUAGCCGGUUUGGUCAGUCCUCCGGGAAAUCUGAUAGCUCAACUAUUAGGCUAUCGGGGGAUACUACCAGACUUGGAACCGGGAGAGGUAAGAGGUACUACAGGGGUAGGAGUGAAAUCUUGUAAUCCCUGUGGGACCACCUGUGGCGAAGGCGUCUUACCAGAACGGGUUCGACGGUGAGGGACGAAAGCUGGGGGCACGAACCGGAUUAGAUACCCGGGUAGUCCCAGCCGUAAACGAUGCUCGCUAGGUGUCAGGCAUGGCGCGACCGUGUCUGGUGCCGCANGGAAGCCGUGAAGCGAGCCACCUGGGAAGUACGGCCGCAAGGCUGAAACUUAAAGGAAUUGGCGGGGGAGCAC
rnacentral:rRNA from 1 species